rnacentral:lncRNA from 1 species
AAAUCACAACUCGAAUUCGUACAAGUUACAUGAGUUUAAAAGUAGGACCAGUAUGUUUUUUGUAUAAUAGAUUAAUGCCGUCUACUAAGUUACAUGAAAUGGAAAACAGGGAAUCAUGUUACAAUAUAUUAUGCAACCAACCAAACUUUUACAAUUCUCUUCUAUUUGAGUUCCAUCAGCUUUUCUUCUUAAUUUCUGUCCCUGUUAAUUUCAGUAACUGCAACCAAAGAUGGGUGAAUGAUACGCCGCAAACCUCACCACAAUCCUCAUCUUUCUUGCUAGGCAAAAAGCUAACAUUCCUUCCUUCAACCUUUAGCCAAAAAACUGCAGAAAAUUAUACUAAUUGUUAAAAUAUAUCUCAAUGACAGUCUCAGGAUCAAGAUAUUACAAUUCGAGCUACGUGCAAAAGCCCGAAUUACAGUGACAUUAUCUCAGUACUGUUGAGUUUUUCCUACUUCCUGCUAAUUUUUUGAAAAGUUUAAAGAAAAAAAAUUUCAUUAUAUGUAUACUUCACCUUAGAGAGUUAUGUUGAAUAUAUGUUUUUCGUUUUUGUGUAGCAUAACUUUGUCCUUAAAGGUUUUUGAUAAUCCGUUAUUUGAAAGUAAACAACUAGACUUUAUUGUCUCAUCAAAAUUUAGGUUUUUCGAGGAAAUUUUAAGGUAUGGAAAAGGAAGAAACGAAUGAACAGAUUAUCACAUGUAUUUCUCCGUCUCAAAUUAUCUGUCAUGGUUUUUAAAAAUAGUUAUCUCAAAUUAUUUGUGAUAUUAGAAGUUCAAAAGUAAAUUAAUUAUUGUUUCCUAUUCUAUCCUUAAUAUUAAUUGUUUUGAAGACUACAAAUAUAAAUGAAGAAAGAUUAUAUCUUAGGACAUAAAUAAUGAUAAAAUAAUCAAGAAAACCUUUUCUAUUUAAUAUUUUCUUAAGGGACGUAUAAAAGAGAAACACAGAUAAUUUGAGACGGAACGAGUACAUAAUUUGAGACGGAACGAGUACGACUUAUACAUCUGACCUCGAAAAAACAAAAGUUCAAGAGAAGAGUGUAAGGACUUACAAAAUCCAACCAUUGUGAGAACGAGAAAAAAGGACAAAGGUUUUGAAGCCAUAUCAAAAUGCUUUGCUUUUUGUGGUGGAUAAUUAGCAAAGGAAAAGGAAUUGGAGUAGGUAUUUGAUUAUAUUG